UCCGGUUUGACACCGGCAGUCUCGCUAGAGUACUCGGCAUAACCCGUUAGCAACUAGCGACAGGGGUUGCGCUCGUUAAGGGACUUAACCCGACACUUCACAGCACGAGCUGACGACAGCCAUGCAGCACCUGUGCACGUUCCACCCAGAGGGUGUGGCUCCUCUUUCAAGGAGUUAAUCCGUACAUGUCAAGCCUAGGUAAGGUUCUUCGCGUUGCCUCGAAUUAAGCAACAUGCUCCACCGCUUGUGUGAGCCCCCGUCAAUUCAUUUGAGUUUUAACCUUGCGGCCGUAGUCCCCAGGCGGUGAACUUAAUGCGUUAGCUGCGGCACUGAUCGGGUCAAUCCGACCAACACCUAGUUCACAACGUUUAGGGCGUGGACUAC
rnacentral:misc_RNA from 1 species